UAGGGAAUCUUCCGCAAUGGGCGAAAGCCUGACGGAGCAACGCCGCGUGAGUGAAGAAGGAUUUCGGUUCGUAAAGCUCUGUUGUUAGGGAAGAAUGGAUAUGUAGUAACUAUACAUGUAAGAGACGGUACCUAACCAGAAAGCCACGGCUAACUACGUGCCAGCAGCCGCGGUAAUACGUAGGUGGCAAGCGUUGUCCGGAAUUAUUGGGCGUAAAGCGCGCGCAGGUGGUUUAAUAAGUCUGAUGUGAAAGCCCACGGCUCAACCGUGGAGGGUCAUUGGAAACUGUUAAACUUGAGUGCAGGAGAGAAAAGUGGAAUUCCUAGUGUAGCGGUGAAAUGCGUAGAGAUUAGGAGGAACACCAGUGGCGAAGGCGGCUUUUUGGCCUGUAACUGACACUGAGGCGCGAAAGCGUGGGGAGCAAACAGGAUUAGAUACCCUGGUAGUCCACGCCGUAAACGAUGAGUGCUAAGUGUUGGUCUCAUAAGAGAUCAGUGCUGCAGCUAACGCAUUAAGCACUCCGCCUGGGGAGUACGACCGCAAGGUU
rnacentral:rRNA from 1 species